CAUCUUGAAAUCCGGUCGCAACUUGCGUAGAUCUGGAUCGUUCCUUCGGGGACUAUGGUGAUAAACGCGCAAGUAAUAAGCGGAUCGGACCCGGGGGCGGUACCCGGCGGCUCCACCAAACAUCCCAUCGUUGGGGAUCAUGGGGCCGAAACAGGAUCGACGGACGUCUAAAGUUGUUGCUUUUACUCGGUGAGGUACCACCGUUAUCGGUCCGGAAAAGUACAAUUGCCAACGACAAUCGUGCUCCGGUCGCCGUCGCAGCCUAAGCUGUGACAAGACCGAAAUCUAAGCCCUUGCGCCUAGCAGCGUAAGGCGGGGUCCGCAGGCACCUGGCAACAGAAGCCUGCAUU
rnacentral:tmRNA from 1 species